AGGUUGACCUCGGAUCAGGUAGGAAUACCCGCUGAACUUAAGCAUAUCAAUAACGGAGGAAAAGAAACCAACAGGAGUUCCCUGAUAACGGCGAGUGAACGGCAACAGCUCAAAUUUGAAAUCUGGCUAUCUUACCGUAGUCCGAGUUGUAAUUUGUAGAGGAUGCUUUUGGUGAGGUGCCUUCCGAGUUCCCUGGAACGGGACGCCAUAGAGGGUGAGAGCCCCGUACGGUUGGAUACCAAGCCUUUGUAUAGCUCCUUCAACGAGUCGAGUAGUUUGGGAAUGCUGCUCUAAAUGGGAGGUAUAUCUCUUCUAAAGCUAAAUAUAGGCUAGAGACCGAUAGCGCACAAGUAGAGUGAUCGAAAGAUGAAAAGCACUUUGAAAAGAGAGUUAAACAGCACGUGAAAUUGUUGAAAGGGAAGCGCCUAUGACCAGACUUGUUUCUGGCAGUUUCGUUAGCCCUCGGGCUGAUUUACUCUGUCCAGUACAGGCCAGCAUCAGUUUGCUGUCGGGGAGAAAGGCUCUGGGAACGUAGCUCCCCCCUUCUGGGGGGGAGUGUUAUAGCCCUCUGCAUAAUACCCUUCGGCAGACUGAGGACCGCGCUUCGGCAAGGAUGCUGGCGUAAUGGCACAGACGCCCGUCUUGAAACACGGACCAAGGAGUCAACCUUAUGUGCGAGUGUUUGGGUGUAAAACCCCAGCGCGUAAUGAAAGUGAACGUAGGUGAGAGCUUCGGCCGAUCAUCGACCGAUUCUGAUGUUUUCGGAUGGAUUUGAGUAAGAGCACACAGGGUUGGACCCGAAAGAAGGUGAACUAUGCUUGUAUAGGGUGAAGCCAGAGGAAACUCUGGUGGAGGCUCGCAGCGGUUCUAGCGUGCAAAUCGAUGCUCAAAUAUGAGCAUGGGGGCGAAAGACUAAUCGAACCUUCUAGUAGCUGGUUCCAGUUGAAGUUUCCCUCAGGAUAGCAGUGUUGAAUUUUUCUUCAGUUUUAUGAGGUAAAGCGAAUGAUUAGGGACUCGGGGGCGCUAUAUUGCCUUCAUCCAUUCUCAAACUUUAAAUAUGUAAGAAGC
rnacentral:rRNA from 1 species